CACGAAUGAUUUUACUAUGGAAGGUAGAGGGUGGGUAAUGAUUCCUUAAAACGAGCAUCAUGCGCCUGCUGCCGAGCCCUGAUCGAUGCAGCUCUUACCCUUAUUUGGCCGAAGUUUAUCGGCCGUAUUUCUACCGCUGCUUCUCCUGCAAUGCUGCUGAAGUUACGCCGCAAAUAAAGAAUCGAGGGUAAAGGUAUACGACUGCUCGUGCCUGCCUUCUUCAUCGGAACACCUUUGUCUCUCAUGAUUAAAAACACCACAGCUGGGAAGACGACGCGGUCGUAAGGCGAGCCUGCUGCCGGGAUGGACAAACCCUUUUUUAAUCGCCGAGCGUAUAAGAUGCAAUUAAACCAGCUCCAGGCCGUAUUAUAAAGGAUAAUUGGAAAGUCACAAAGCGACAUGAGGCACUUAAUGGCCGCUGAAACCCGUCAAAACAAGUGGACUUGGGCUGAUCCAUCCAGACAGUCUUCCUUAAGAGAUCAACCAAGUCCAGACAACGUUGAGAGGUUAUAUGAAAAGUUAGAUCGAAACUUUUCACGUGACAAUUGCUUUACAUCCGUAAGGAGCGGCUAAAAGCAUCAUCGGAAACACUCGAAUCGUAUGAUACAGACAGAAUUCAAACCGUCCCACACGGAAGAAAAUCUGAAUACCAGAGUGCAACGUUAU